UGCGGUAUUGUCUUGUUAAUAAAUAAGCCC
rnacentral:piRNA from 1 species